CGCGUAGGCGGAUAGAUAAGUCAGAGGUGAAAGCCUCCCGCUCAACGGGAGAACUGCCUUUGAUACUGUUUAUCUUGAAUGAGGUUGAGGUUAGCGGAAUGUGACAUGUAGCGGUGAAAUGCAUAGAUAUGUCAUAGAACACCAAUUGCGUAGGCAGCUAGCUAGGCCUUUAUUGACGCUGAGGCACGAAAGCAUGGGGAGCGAACAGGAUUAGAUACCCUGGUAGUCC
rnacentral:rRNA from 1 species